GACGAACGCUGGCAGCGUGCUUAACACAUGCAAGUCGAACGGAAAGGCCCUGCUUUUGUGGGGUGCUCGAGUGGCGAACGGGUGAGUAACACGUGAGUAACCUGCCAUUGACUUUGGGAUAACUUCAGGAAACUGGGGCUAAUACUGGAUAGGAGCUCCUGCUGCAUGGUGGGGGUUGGAAAGUUUCGGCGGUUGGGGAUGGACUCGCGGCUUAUCAGCUUGUUGGUGGGGUAGUGGCUUACCAAGGCUUUGACGGGUAGCCGGCCUGAGAGGGUGACCGGCCACAUUGGGACUGAGAUACGGCCCAGACUCCUACGGGAGGCAGCAGUGGGGAAUAUUGCACAAUGGGCGGAAGCCUGAUGCAGCAACGCCGCGUGCGGGAUGACGGCCUUCGGGUUGUAAACCGCUUUCGCCUGUGACGAAGCGUGAGUGACGGUAAUGGGUAAAGAAGCACCGGCUAACUACGUG
rnacentral:rRNA from 1 species